GUAGCUCUGGGAAGACCUCCGGUCAUUCCCAGGAAGUACCAGGUGUGCUGCAGAAAGCAUGGUGGCCUCAGAGGCCGAAUGACAUAAAUAAAUGCCUGCCGUGACACCCUCGGUGGAGCUCAUGGCCCACAAACAGGUGCAGUCAGGAGUUUGAAAACUUCUGGUCUAAUACAACCUCCCACUGGACAGGCGAGCAAACGGAGGCUCAGAAAGGAUAACUGACUCCCCUCGUGUCCCAAGGCCAGUGAGCGGUGGGUUCCUGGCACCCCUGCGUCCCAGGAGAGACGGUACGAACCGUGGUGAGAGGGCGGUGGGGGAUCCUUCGGGAGGAAAGUUGGGGGUGUGCAGAGGCACUGGGCACGCUGGGUGGAGAAGCAGCUCAGGGUGCUGCGCCAGCUCCCCCAGGGGCGGGAUUGCAGUGACACAGCCGCAGGGGUGAAGUCCACCACCUGGGCUCAGACCUAGCCCUGCCACUCACUAGCCGGUGACUUUGGGCGUGUAUGUCACCUGCCAGAGGCUCAGCACCUUCUGCUGAGCCCAGCCCUGAGCUUGGAGUGAAAUCGUAACGCAGCCGGCUGCCUGACACGCAGUGCCCAGGCACCGACGCGGCCAAUUACCGUUGCUUGUACUUCCAUUUGGAAAUUUCCCUGUUUUUGGCUUUCCCCUUCUUUUCUGAGAGCUCCUUCUUUAGGAGGGCUGGCCCUCUCUGACGACAAGAGCAGAUGCUCCCAGGUGGGCUGGGACACACCCACGCCGCCGGUGGGUCUGGAGGAGGCUGGAGGAAGAUUCAAGUUCGCAGCCGAUCCUUUUCCUCAUCAGUCGUCAGCUCCUCGGAGCCUCCGAGGGACGUCUGGAGGGGCCGCUGAUUGUGGAAACAGCUGGAAGGGAAACGCGAGGGCAGAUGUGCGAGGGCAGAUGUGGCCACAACGGGAGGCCUGCAGCCGUCAGCGCUUCCCACAGCGUACUGGGAAAGCUGCCACGCUUGGAGCCCACCAGACCCAGGUUCAAAUCCCAGUCUACCAGAAUUCCUGUGGCAUAACGUAGCCUUGACGAGUAAGACCUGGCAUCUAGACCUGUCUUCACUAUGUAUAAGCUGUGUGACUCCAGGAACAUGUUUAACCUCUCUGAGUCUUAGUUUCAUCGCCUUUGAAAGAAGAGGGGAAGAUGAGGAAACAGAGGUUCCAAGUGGUGAUGUGAUUCUCAGGGUCAUACAGCCAGCAAGUGGCAGAGCUGGGAUUCAGACCCCAGCCCCUCGGCUCCAAAGAGUGGAAAAGGAAGGGAAAGGACGACCACUCAGUGACGGCUAACCAUGGGCCCUUGGAAGAGUAGGAGUGAUUUUUACUUUCUCCCUCACACUCAUCUGUAUUCCUCCCUCCUCCCCCCCAAAAAAAAACUGGGGUGGGAGGAAGCAGGUUGUUAGAUAAAAAGGGAGGUGAAGAAGCAAUUGCCCCUCUCAAGCAGGCAUCCUUGAAGAUGAAACAUUCAGGUCUCGCGCUUCACACCACGAGCUCAGAUUGUGUCCAUUUUUUUUUUUCUGGUUAAAGAAGAGCAGAGUGUCCUGGCAGAGUCUUUGGCUGAUUGCUUAACAAUGGGAGUGUGUGCUCUGGACAUGCACACACAGCCCACGCCGACUGAGACAGGAGGGAGACAGAAACCAGCAGUAGCCAAAACUCUGCUAGAUCGAUGCAGACUGUUACAGGCGCAGCUUUCCAAAAAGCAGAGCUCGGUGAAAUAAAUAUUUUUCCUGUGAGAAGAGGCUUAAGUCGGCGAUCUUAACAACCCCCCAAUUCAUUCCAGAUCCACUCAGAGCGGCUGGCGUCAGUGCGCCCAUCUUGAUGUACUUAGGAUCGCUUGGUAACUGCAGCGAGCCCGGGUGCCUGGCUGCUGUCCCGCUGGCAGAGUGCCUGAGGUGCUGGGCAGGAGGGCCAGAAGGAGUUUGUCCCUGGGGAACGCUCUCCCCACUCCCUCUGAGCUCCCCACAACUUCUUGGGGUCCCCAAUUCUUUUUCCUGUGAAGCCACCACUAUUUAAACUGGAGGCCUGAGGAUGCACGCAACCUCUUCUUGGCAAAAGGCUCCAUUCUCUGUCCUGGAGACAAUCUUCAGCAAGAAUUUAGAGUCGUGGACUUGGGAAAUGUACACAAAUGAAGAAGUCUGGGUUACCUCAUAAACUGGGAGUUUCACUAUCCAGGCAGAGACUCAUUGAUUGAUUAAUUAAUUUGCUUGCUCACUCGAUCAUUGUUAAUCCGCUACCUCCUAAGUGCAAGAUUUGGUACAAGCCUAAUAAAAGA